rnacentral:rRNA from 1 species
GACAGAGGGUGCAAACGUUGUUCGGAAUUACUGGGCGUAAAGCGCGUGUAGGCGGCCGGGUAAGUCGGGCGUGAAAUCCCACGGCUCAACCGUGGAAGUGCACUCGAAACUACUUGGCUAGAGUCCUGGAGAGGAAGGUGGAAUACUUGGUGUAGAGGUGAAAUUCGUAGAUAUCAAGUGGAACACCGGUGGCGAAGGCGGCCUUCUGGACAGUGACUGACGCUGAGACGCGAAAGCGUGGGGAGCAAACAGG